GAGGAGGGGAAGGGCAGAGGGAAACCGCUGAGGGGAAAAUGCCGGUUAGAAAGACAGACCACCACCCCCUGCUGUCCACCGGAGCUGAGGGAGCCGCGGCUGAGUGAGGUCCUUGUAACCUGUCUGUAAUACUGCUUAAAAAAUACUGUGCCAGUAGGAGGUAAUAAAUCUAUAGCCUUAAAAGGGGAAGGAUAUUAAAGAACAACCAUGUCAUGUUGGAGUGGUCACUGAAAAAAGAAAACAAGUGGUUGCAUGUGAAAGGAGAGGAGAAACUACUGAUAAGAGUGGCCAGAUAACAGAAACUAUGCCAGAGAACUGUGACAGAGUUUGAAUAAGGGAGCACUGUUUCUUGGAAACUGCUGGAAACACUCAUCUCCCCUUCCUUUAGGCUGAAACUAGCUUUUCUUAUGGCUUUUCCACACCAUGUGGCUCUUGAUGGAGAAUGAAAGUUGCCCAGGGCUGGGACUGCAUCCUCCAGCAUGUCUGUGAAAGCCCCAGGGUGUUUUUAUGGUUUCUAAGACAUUACAAAUAAAUACAGUGAGUGAGCCCCAUCUUGCCAUUCAGACUGUGAGCUGCAGAAAGCCACCAACUUCCCUAAAGCUCUUCUGAUAAAGGAAUGUCAAGUCAAAAGCAAACAAAUAUGGAUAAUCAUUCUGCUGGCUGAGAUGUGUUACAAGAAUACCAAGAAAUGACAAACCACAGACUGAUGUGAUUCAUCCAGGCACCCAAAAAGCACUUACAAGAAACCACCUGACUAAUCAUGCUGGAGCUCAGGGACAGUCCUGUACAAUCAACCCAUGUAAUUAUACAUGUCACAAAAACCAACCCUUGCACUCACAAGGUAAAUAAUAUCUGCUGUGCUAAAGGUAGUAUUGAGCUAAUGGUAUUAAUUGCUUGGAAUAACAUUCUCCUUCUUGGGCUCUUUCUCCUAUUCAUGUAUUCUUUUCCCAACAACUGGCAAAAUAAUUACACAAGCAACAACAACAACAAAAAAAAAAACAAAACAAAACAAAACAA